rnacentral:rRNA from 1 species
GAGGUUAAGCGACUAAGCGUACACGGUGGAUGCCCUGGCAGUCAGAGGCGAUGAAGGACGUGCUAAUCUGCGAUAAGCGUCGGUAAGGUGAUAUGAACCGUUAUAACCGGCGAUUUCCGAAUGGGGAAACCCAGUGUGUUUCGACACACUAUCAUUAACUGAAUCCAUAGGUUAAUGAGGCGAACCGGGGGAACUGAAACAUCUAAGUACCCCGAGGAAAAGAAAUCAACCGAGAUUCCCCCAGUAGCGGCGAGCGAACGGGGAGCAGCCCAGAGCCUGAAUCAGUGUGUGUGUUAGUGGAAGCGUCUGGAAAGGCGUGCGAUACAGGGUGACAGCCCCGUACACAAAAAUGCACAUGCUGUGAGCUCGAUGAGUAGGGCGGGACACGUGGUAUCCUGUCUGAAUAUGGGGGGACCAUCCUCCAAGGCUAAAUACUCCUGACUGACCGAUAGUGAACCAGUACCGUGAGGGAAAGGCGAAAAGAACCCCGGCGAGGGGAGUGAAAAAGAACCUGAAACCGUGUACGUACAAGCAGUGGGAGCACGCUUAGGCGUGUGACUGCGUACCUUUUGUAUAAUGGGUCAGCGACUUAUAUUCUGUAGCAAGGUUAACCGAAUAGGGGAGCCGAAGGGAAACCGAGUCUUAACUGGGCGUUAAGUUGCAGGGUAUAGACCCGAAACCCGGUGAUCUAGCCAUGGGCAGGUUGAAGGUUGGGUAACACUAACUGGAGGACCGAACCGACUAAUGUUGAAAAAUUAGCGGAUGACUUGUGGCUGGGGGUGAAAGGCCAAUCAAACCGGGAGAUAGCUGGUUCUCCCCGAAAGCUAUUUAGGUAGCGCCUCGUGAAUUCAUCUCCGGGGGUAGAGCACUGUUUCGGCAAGGGGGUCAUCCCGACUUACCAACCCGAUGCAAACUGCGAAUACCGGAGAAUGUUAUCACGGGAGACACACGGCGGGUGCUAACGUCCGUCGUGAAGAGGGAAACAACCCAGACCGCCAGCUAAGGUCCCAAAGUCAUGGUUAAGUGGGAAACGAUGUGGGAAGGCCCAGACAGCCAGGAUGUUGGCUUAGAAGCAGCCAUCAUUUAAAGAAAGCGUAAUAGCUCACUGGUCGAGUCGGCCUGCGCGGAAGAUGUAACGGGGCUAAACCAUGCACCGAAGCUGCGGCAGCGACACUAUGUGUUGUUGGGUAGGGGAGCGUUCUGUAAGCCUGUGAAGGUGUGCUGUGAGGCAUGCUGGAGGUAUCAGAAGUGCGAAUGCUGACAUAAGUAACGAUAAAGCGGGUGAAAAGCCCGCUCGCCGGAAGACCAAGGGUUCCUGUCCAACGUUAAUCGGGGCAGGGUGAGUCGACCCCUAAGGCGAGGCCGAAAGGCGUAGUCGAUGGGAAACAGGUUAAUAUUCCUGUACUUGGUGUUACUGCGAAGGGGGGACGGAGAAGGCUAUGUUGGCCGGGCGACGGUUGUCCCGGUUUAAGCGUGUAGGCUGGUUUUCCAGGCAAAUCCGGAAAAUCAAGGCUGAGGCGUGAUGACGAGGCACUACGGUGCUGAAGCAACAAAUGCCCUGCUUCCAGGAAAAGCCUCUAAGCAUCAGGUAACAUCAAAUCGUACCCCAAACCGACACAGGUGGUCAGGUAGAGAAUACCAAGGCGCUUGAGAGAACUCGGGUGAAGGAACUAGGCAAAAUGGUGCCGUAACUUCGGGAGAAGGCACGCUGAUAUGUAGGUGAAGCGACUUGCUCGUGGAGCUGAAAUCAGUCGAAGAUACCAGCUGGCUGCAACUGUUUAUUAAAAACACAGCACUGUGCAAACACGAAAGUGGACGUAUACGGUGUGACGCCUGCCCGGUGCCGGAAGGUUAAUUGAUGGGGUUAGCCGCAAGGCGAAGCUCUUGAUCGAAGCCCCGGUAAACGGCGGCCGUAACUAUAACGGUCCUAAGGUAGCGAAAUUCCUUGUCGGGUAAGUUCCGACCUGCACGAAUGGCGUAAUGAUGGCCAGGCUGUCUCCACCCGAGACUCAGUGAAAUUGAACUCGCUGUGAAGAUGCAGUGUACCCGCGGCAAGACGGAAAGACCCCGUGAACCUUUACUAUAGCUUGACACUGAACAUUGAGCCUUGAUGUGUAGGAUAGGUGGGAGGCUUUGAAGUGUGGACGCCAGUCUGCAUGGAGCCGACCUUGAAAUACCACCCUUUAAUGUUUGAUGUUCUAACGUUGACCCGUAAUCCGGGUUGCGGACAGUGUCUGGUGGGUAGUUUGACUGGGGCGGUCUCCUCCUAAAGAGUAACGGAGGAGCACGAAGGUUGGCUAAUCCUGGUCGGACAUCAGGAGGUUAGUGCAAUGGCAUAAGCCAGCUUGACUGCGAGCGUGACGGCGCGAGCAGGUGCGAAAGCAGGUCAUAGUGAUCCGGUGGUUCUGAAUGGAAGGGCCAUCGCUCAACGGAUAAAAGGUACUCCGGGGAUAACAGGCUGAUACCGCCCAAGAGUUCAUAUCGACGGCGGUGUUUGGCACCUCGAUGUCGGCUCAUCACAUCCUGGGGCUGAAGUAGGUCCCAAGGGUAUGGCUGUUCGCCAUUUAAAGUGGUACGCGAGCUGGGUUUAGAACGUCGUGAGACAGUUCGGUCCCUAUCUGCCGUGGGCGCUGGAGAACUGAGGGGGGCUGCUCCUAGUACGAGAGGACCGGAGUGGACGCAUCACUGGUGUUCGGGUUGUCAUGCCAAUGGCACUGCCCGGUAGCUAAAUGCGGAAGAGAUAAGUGCUGAAAGCAUCUAAGCACGAAACUUGCCCCGAGAUGAGUUCUCCCUGACUCCUUGAGAGUCCUGAAGGAACGUUGAAGACGACGACGUUGAUAGGCCGGGUGUGUAAGCGCAGCGAUGCGUUGAGCUAACCGGUACUAAUGAACCGUGAGGCUUAACCUUA